rnacentral:rRNA from 1 species
GAUUUCUGGCUUGACGCGCUUGGCCCGCCUCGGUUACGAGUGUGAGUGCUGAUGCGCGUCUGCCAUCCUUCCAGAAAACGGUGUCUCCCUUCAUUGGGUUGGCAUCGCGAUCUGGAUCUAUUACUUUGAAAAAAUUAGAGUGUUUAAAGCAGGCUUUUGCUAUGAAUACAUUAGCAUGGAAUAAUAAUCUAGGACUUCGGUUCUAUUUUGUUGGUUUCUAUAACUGAAGUAAUGAUUGAUAGGGAUAGUUGGGGGUGCUAGUAUUGGCCGGCCAGAGGUGAAAUUCUUGGAUUCGGUCAAGACUAACUUAUGCGAAAGCAUU